rnacentral:rRNA from 1 species
GAUGAACGCUGGCGGCGUGCCUAAUACAUGCAAGUCGAGCGAACAGACUAGGAGCUUGCUCCUCUGACGUUAGCGGCGGACGGGUGAGUAACACGUGGAUAACCUACCUAUAAGACUGGGAUAACUUCGGGAAACCGGAGCUAAUACCGGAUAAUAUAUUGAACCGCAUGGUUCAAUAGUGAAAGACGGUUUUGCUGUCACUUAUAGAUGGAUCCGCGCCGCAUUAGCUAGUUGGUAAGGUAACGGCUUACCAAGGCAACGAUGCGUAGCCGACCUGAGAGGGUGAUCGGCCACACUGGAACUUAGACACGGUCCAGACUCCUACGGGAGGCAGCAGUAGGGAAUCUUCCGCAAUGGGCGAGAGCUUGACGGAGCAACGCCGCGUGAGUGAUGAAGGUCUUCGGAUCGUAAAACUCUGUUAUUAGGGAAGAACAAAUGUGUAAGUAACUAUGCACGUCUUGACGGUACCUAAUCAGAAAGCCACGGCUAACUACGUG